rnacentral:rRNA from 1 species
UACGGAGGGAGCUAGCGUUGUUCGGAAUUACUGGGCGUAAAGCGCGCGUAGGCGGCUUUGUAAGUUAGAGGUGAAAGCCUGGAGCUCAACUUCAGAAUUGCCUUUAAGACUGCAUCGCUUGAAUCCGGGAGAGGUGAGUGGAAUUCCGAGUGUAGAGGUGAAAUUCGUAGAUAUUCGGAAGAACACCAGUGGCGAAGGCGGCUCACUGGCCCGGUACUGACGCUGAGGUGCGAAAGCGUGGGGAGCAAACAGG